CGACCUGAAGAGGGUGAUCGGCCACACUGGAACUGAGACACGGUCCAGACUCCUACGGGAGGCAGCAGUAGGGAAUCUUCCGCAAUGGGCGAAAGCCUGACGGAGCAACGCCGCGUGAGUGAUGAAGGUCUUCGGAUCGUAAAACUCUGUUAUUAGGGAAGAACAUAUGUGUAAGUAACUGUGCACAUCUUGACGGUACCUAAUCAGAAAGCCACGGCUAACUACGUGCCAGCAGCCGCGGUAAUACGUAGGUGGCAAGCGUUAUCCGGAAUUAUUGGGCGUAAAGCGCGCGUAGGCGGUUUUUUAAGUCUGAUGUGAAAGCCCACGGCUCAACCGUGGAGGGUCAUUGGAAACUGGAAAACUUGAGUGCAGAAGAGGAAAGUGGAAUUCCAUGUGUAGCGGUGAAAUGCGCAGAGAUAUGGAGGAACACCAGUGGCGAAGGCGACUUUCUGGUCUGUAACUGACGCUGAUGUGCGAAAGCGUGGGGAUCAAACAGGAUUAGAUACCCUGGUAGUCCACGCCGUAAACGAUGAGUGCUAAGUGUUAGGGGGUUUCCGCCCCUUAGUGCUGCAGCU
rnacentral:rRNA from 1 species